rnacentral:tRNA from 1 species
GCAUUGGUGGUAUAGUGGUGAGUCUAGCUAUCUUUCAAGCAGUUGACCAGGGUUGGAUUCCUGGCCAAUGUA